rnacentral:rRNA from 1 species
AUUGAACGCUGGCGGCAGGCCUAACACAUGCAAGUCGCACGAGUGGCGGACGGGUGAGUCAUGUCUGGGAAACUGCCUGAUGGCGGGGGAUACCUACUGGAAACGGUAGCUAAUACCGCAUACCAUCAGAUGUGCCCAGAUGGGAUUAGCUUGUUGGUGGGGUAACGGCUAACCAAGUCGCAGAUACCUAGCUGGUAUGAGAGGAUGACCAGCAAAACGGGAACUGGGAAACGGUCAAGACGCCUUCGGCAGGAAGCAGUGGGGAAUAUUGGACAAUGGGCGCAAGCCGGAUGCAGCAAUGCCGCGGGUAUGAAGAGGGCCGUCGGGUUGUAAAGUACGUUCAGCGGGGAGGCGUUACCCGCAGAAGAAGGACCGGCUAACUCCGUGCCAGCAGCCGCGGUAAUUC